UACGGAGGGUGCAAGCGUUAAUCGGAAUUACUGGGCGUAAAGCGUGCGCAGGCGGUUUGUUAAGUCUGUUGUGAAAUCCCCGAGCUCAACUUGGGAAUUGCAAUGGAUACUGGCAGGCUGGAGUAUGGUAGAGGAAGGUGGAAUUCCCGGUGUAGAGGUGAAAUGCGCAGAUAUCAGGAAGAACACCUAUGGCGAAGGCAGCACUCUGGGACGGUACUGACGCUGAGACGCGAAAGCGUGGGGAGCGAACAGG
rnacentral:rRNA from 1 species